rnacentral:rRNA from 1 species
GCGGCGGACGGGUGAGUAAUGCCUAGGAAUCUGCCUGGUAGUGGGGGACAACGUUUCGAAAGGAACGCUAAUACCGCAUACGUCCUACGGGAGAAAGCAGGGGACCUUCGGGCCUUGCGCUAUCAGAUGAGCCUAGGUCGGAUUAGCUAGUUGGUGGGGUAAUGGCUCACCAAGGCGACGAUCCGUAACUGGUCUGAGAGGAUGAUCAGUCACACUGGAACUGAGACACGGUCCAGACUCCUACGGGAGGCAGCAGUGGGGAAUAUUGGACAAUGGGCGAAAGCCUGAUCCAGCCAUGCCGCGUGUGUGAAGAAGGUCUUCGGAUUGUAAAGCACUUUAAGUUGGGAGGAAGGGCAGUAAGCGAAUACCUUGCUGUUUUGACGUUACCGACAGAAUAAGCACCGGCUAACUCUGUGCCAGCAGCCGCGGUAAUACAGAGGGUGCAAGCGUUAAUCGGAAUUACUGGGCGUAAAGCGCGCGUAGGUGGUUUGUUAAGUUGGAUGUGAAAGCCCCGGGCUCAACCUGGGAACUGCAUCCAAAACUGGCAAGCUAGAGUACGGUAGAGGGUGGUGGAAUUUCCUGUGUAGCGGUGAAAUGCGUAGAUAUAGGAAGGAACACCAGUGGCGAAGGCGACCACCUGGACUGAUACUGACACUGAGG